GGUCUAGUGGCGUAGUGGAGAACGCGCCGUCGUAACAUUGAAGCUGUCCAUCACAUGUUUAUGACGGAGACCCUUGUUCGAGUCAAGGCUGGACCA